GAACUGCGAUAAGUAAUGUGAAUUGCAGAAUUCAGUGAAUCAUCGAGUCUUUGAACGCACAUUGCGCCCCCUGGCAUUCCGGGGGGCAUGCCUGUCCGAGCGUCAUUGCUGCCCUUCAAGCCCGGCUUGUGUGUUGGGUCGUCGUCCCCUCCGGGGGACGGGCCCGAAAGGCAGCGGCGGCACCGCGUCCGGUCCUCGAGCGUAUGGGGCUUUGUCACCCGCUCGAUAAGGACCGGCCGGGCGCCAUCCGGCGUCUCCAACCUUUUUUUCUCAGGUUGACCUCGGAUCAGGUAGGGAUACCCGCUGAACUUAAGC
rnacentral:misc_RNA from 1 species